rnacentral:rRNA from 1 species
UGGGGAAUUUUGGACAAUGGGCGAAAGCCUGAUCCAGCAAUGCCGCGUGUGUGAAGAAGGCCUUCGGGUUGUAAAGCACUUUUGUCCGGAAAGAAAUCCUUGGCUCUAAUACAGUCGGGGGAUGACGGUACCGGAAGAAUAAGCACCGGCUAACUACGUGCCAGCAGCCGCGGUAAUACGUAGGGUGCAAGCGUUAAUCGGAAUUACUGGGCGUAAAGCGUGCGCAGGCGGUUUGCUAAGACCGAUGUGAAAUCCCCGGGCUCAACCUGGGAACUGCAUUGGUGACUGGCAGGCUAGAGUAUGGCAGAGGGGGGUAGAAUUCCACGUGUAGCAGUGAAAUGCGUAGAGAUGUGGAGGAAUACCGAUGGCGAAGGCAGCCCCCUGGGCCAAUACUGACGCUCAUGCACGAAAGCGUGGGGAGCAAAACAGGAUUAGAUACCCUGGUAGUCCACGCCCUAAAACGAUGUCAACUAGUUGUUGGGGAUUCAUUUCCUUAGUAACGUAGCUAACGCGUGAAGUUGGCCGCCUGGGGAGUACGGUCGCAAGAUUAAAACUUAAAUGAAUUGACGGGGUCAUAGCUGUUUCCU